AGAGUUUGAUCAUGGCUCAGAUUGAACGCUGGCGGCAUGCCUUACACAUGCAAGUCGAACGGCAGCACGGGAGCAAUCCUGGUGGCGAGUGGCGAACGGGUGAGUAAAGUAUCGGAACGUGCCCAGUCGUGGGGGAUAACGUAGCGAAAGCUACGCUAAUACCGCAUACGAUCUAUGGAUGAAAGCGGGGGAUCGCAAGACCUCGCGCGAUUGGAGCGGCCGAUAUCAGAUUAGGUAGUUGGUGGGGUAAAGGCCUACCAAGCCGACGAUCUGUAGCUGGUCUGAGAGGACGACCAGCCACACUGGGACUGAGACACGGCCCAGACUCCUACGGGAGGCAGCAGUGGGGAAUUUUGGACAAUGGGCGCAAGCCUGAUCCAGCAAUGCCGCGUGCAGGAUGAAGGCCUUCGGGUUGUAAACUGCUUUUGUACGGAGCGAAAAGGCUUCCACUAAUACUGGAGGCUCAUGACGGUACCGUAAGAAUAAGCACCGGCUAACUACGUGCCAGCAGCCGCGGUAAUACGUAGGGUGCAAGCGUUAAUCGGAAUUACUGGGCGUAAAGCGUGCGCAGGCGGUCUUGUAAGACAGGUGUGAAAUCCCCGGGCUUAACCUGGGAACUGCACUUGUGACUGCAAGGCUGGAGUACGGCAGAGGGGGAUGGAAUUCCGCGUGUAGC
rnacentral:rRNA from 1 species